ACGGCGGACUAAAACUUUGGGGUGGGUUUUCAAAUGCAGCCUUAAACCUUUUCGUAAGGCCUAGGUCUCAUUUAAGCUGCAUCCAAAUCUAAAACCGGCGAGCAACAUCAAAAUACAGGAGCGAGAUUGCGGCCUCUCUCUCUUCUCUGUCUCUCAAAUGAGCUUCAAUCUUUCUCUUAAACGAGGUUUCUGGGUGCCCUAAAACAACCAAAAUUGCAGAGACCUUAAACAUUCACAAAGCGGCAGGUGGAUUACGUGGAUCUCAAGAAGACGCCCAUCAGGGUGUUAGGAAAUUGUGCCCUUCAACGUUAUAAUUGAUAUAUACAAGUUGCAACUGUAUAUAAUUGACUGGUACGCUUCUUUGAAACUUUACUUUUGGUUGCAUGUUUUAGUUGAGACGUGUUAACUCAAGCUCGAAUUUGUAUGUUAAAGUGUGGUACGAAUCCAUAAUACAUGUUUAUUCACUUAUUCAUAAAUGUACCAUUUUCAGUUGAUUUGAUUUAUUUGAUUUAUCAACCAGAUCAAAUCAAUAAUAAACUUCAAUUCUUUGUUUCAUUAAUACAAAAGAGAGUAAGGAAACAAAAUUCUUAGCAUCAAAACAAAGGUUGCUAGGUCUUUAAAUCCUUGCGACUAGGAUCAAAGGACUAUUGGAAGGAUUAACAAUCCUUCCUUUCUUAGUCCCCAUCAUAUUCUAUUUGUUGUCGUGAAUUAGAUUUGAUGGGCUAAUUAGGAAUCAAAUCAAAAGCUGUUUAAAGGGAUGAAAAUACCCUUAUCUAUACUAGGACUGAGUGCUUUUAAUAUUGGAUAAAAAAUAAAUCGAAAUAAAGCUAGAGAAUUAAAGUAGAAAUCAAAACUUUUUCUCUUAUGUGACCAGUGUGGGAAAAAUUGGGCGGUUCAAAUUCUAACCCCCUUGCUGAGCCCGGUUAAAUCGGAACCAACCACUGGUUGGUUCUGGUUUUGGUGAACCAGCCAGGUAUUUAAAAAAAUUAUAUAAAAUCCCAAAAAAUAAGGGAUUUUGUUUGGAAUGUAUUUUUAAAUAUUUUUUAUCAUUUUGGAAAAGAUUUGAAAAUGGUUUGGCAUUUUUCCAUCUUUUUUGGUAAAUUUCAAAAAUACCCCUGGGAACAAAUUGGUUCUUUAAAAUCUAUUUUUUCAUUAAUUGCCUCCGGCACCAUGUCUGGUAUACCAUUCCGGUUUGAUGUUUCCUACACUUUAUGUGACCCAUCCAGGAUGAAUGUAUGUAAUAGUGUCUCCUUAUUGUUUCACAGAAAGAGAAACAAUACAGCUUAGAUCAAAUAAAAGGAGAUAGAGGAAUGUGAGAUGAAAUCAAGCAAUUUUAGGAAUUUGAUUUAAGUCUAGGAGAUGAGAUUUCAACUCCAUAAUCUUUUGAAAUCUGUCCUUAAACAAAAUCACCCCAAAUGAAAAAUCGAUCUCCAUCAAAUUUAAAGCUAGCUUACAGCCUGAAAGAAGUGGGUGGAGAAGUACUUCGGAUCAAUUCCAGAAGGUCACCACAACUAGUUCUAGGGUUUUGAAAUUAAUGAGGUGUAAGAAAUUAGUGUUUGAUUUUUGACACAAAAUUUAGGUUAGGGUUUCAAGGGAUUUAAUCUGGGGUUAAUUGUAGAGACAACCUAUGGUUUAUUUUAGGGUUUCAGUGGUUUUUCUUUUUAAUUGGGGCUAUUUGCUAGUUAGUAGGGUUAUGAUAAAACAAAAAUUUAAAGAUUGAAGUAAAUGGGAAAAAUAAGGGAGAAAGAGAAAAAUAAGAAAUUAGGAAGAAUACUAAAGGAUUCAAGGAAUGAAAA